ACGCGGAGUUGCUAGUAACCGCCGGUCAGCCAUACGGCGGUGAAUACGUUCCCGGGCCUUGUACACACCGCCCGUCACGUCACGAAAGCUGGCUUCACCUGAAGCCGGUGGGCCAACCCGGCGGGGGACCGCUGGGGGGCAGCCGUCGAGGGUGGGGCUGGUGAUUGGGACGAAGUCGUAACAAGGUAGCCGUACCGGAAGGUGCGGCUGGAUCACCUCCUUUCUAGGGAG
rnacentral:rRNA from 1 species